ACGUAGGUGGCAAGCGUUGUCCGGAAUUAUUGGGCGUAAAGCGCGCGCAGGCGGUUUCGUAAGUCUGUCUUAAAAGUGCGUGGCUUAACCCCGUGAGGGGAUGGAAACUAUGGAACUGGAGUAUCGGAGAGGAAAGCGGAAUUCCUAGUGUAGCGGUGAAAGGCGUAGAUAUUAGGAAGAACACCAGUGGCGAAGGCGGCUUUCUGGACGACAACUGACGCUGAGGCGCGAAAGCCAGGGGAGCGAACGG
rnacentral:rRNA from 1 species